rnacentral:rRNA from 1 species
UACGUAGGGUGCAAGCGUUUGUCCGGAAUUAUUGGGCGUAAAGCGUGUGCAGGCGGGCUAGCAAGUGGUGUAUGAAAUCUCCCGGCUCAACCGGGAAGGGUUAUGCCAGACUGCUUUGCUUGAGGCCGGGGAGAGGUGAGUGGAAUUCCCAGUGUAGCGGUGAAAUGCGUAGAUAUUGGGAGGAACACCAGUGGCGAAGGCGGCUCACUGGACCGGUAUUGACGCUGAGGUGCGAAAGCGUGGGGAGCAAACAGG